GGAAUUUUCCACAAUGGACGAAAGUCUGAUGGAGCAACGCCGCGUGAACGAUGAAGGUCUUCGGAUUGUAAAGUUCUGUUGUCAGAGACGAACAAGUACCGUUCGAACAGGGCGGUACCUUGACGGUACCUGACGAGAACGCCACGGCUACCUACGUGCCAGCAGCCGCGGUAAUACGUAGGUGGCAAGCGUUGUCCGGAAUUAUUGGGCGUAAAGCGCGCGCAGGCGGCUAUGUAAGUCUGGUGUUAAAGCCCGGGGCUCAACCCCGGUUCGCAUCGGAAACUGUGUAGCUUGAGUGCAGAAGAGGAAAGCGGUAUUCCACGUGUAGCGGUGAAAUGCGUAGAGAUGUGGAGGAACACCAGUGGCGAAGGCGGCUUUCUGGUCUGUAACUGACGCUGAGGCGCGAAAGCGUGGGGAGCAAAC
rnacentral:rRNA from 1 species